UACGUAGGGGGCAAGCGUUGUCCGGAAUCAUUGGGCGUAAAGCGCGUGUAGGCGGUUCGGUAAGUCUGCUGUGAAAGUCCAGGGCUCAACCCUGGGAUGCCGGUGGAUACUGUCGGGCUAGAGUACGGAAGAGGCGAGUGGAAUUCCCGGUGUAGCGGUGAAAUGCGGCAGAUAUCGGGAGGAACACCAAUUGCGAAGGCAGCUCGCUGGGACGUCACUGACGCUGGAGACGCGAAAGCGGUGGGGAGCAAAC
rnacentral:rRNA from 1 species